AUCCAGAUAUUGGAUUUGAAAUACGGAAUAUUGACAGUUAACCAACGCUGCAUUUGUAGAUCUCAUGAUUUGGUACUUUGGAAUGGAGAGCAAUAUAAAUUUGUGUGACGAGCAUUCAGCGGAAAUAUGCGGUAAUGCGGCCUUGCAAAUAAUAACAGAACAAAUUAGACGACGACGUAUUGCUGCAAUGGGAUUCUAAAAAAAAUUGCAAAAAAGAGAAUGUACAAUAAAAACGAUAUUGGAUAGCCAAUAAAAGUAGUCAUCUUAAUAAUCUUAUAGUCUUAACAGUUUUAUAGUCUUAAUAGUCUUAUUUAAUCGUCAUCUAUUCAUAUUUUUAUAUUUUUAUAUACUAACUUCGUUAAAUUCUCCAUCAAUCUCCAUUUCGAAACCUCGCGCUCAUAUAUCCAAUGGAUAUAUCUCGUAGAUGGAAAAAUCGAAUUAUCGGCGAUCAUAAUCGAAUAAGAAGAAAUAUUGGUGGAGGGGGAAAUAUUUGGAUAUGCAUACUACGUGAAAUCGCAGCUUUAUGCAGAAAUGUAUGCUACGGCCCUUAUGACAUAGAGUGCUAAUUGGUGAAAAAUAAGUGAUGAGAGUAAAUAGUACUUAGGGUGACAUCCUAUGGACGUGGAACGUGCGCAAUGCGAAAUUGACGCAACGCUCAUGAUUGGUCCGACAAACGUUCCGUUAAUUUCGUUUUACUGAAAUGUAUUCCCUUAUGUCUCAUGGAAUGAAAGACGCGGAAAGACGCAAUUGUCGUUUGUCAAUCGCAAUAUUUUUCUCCUAGAGUCUUCUGUUAUGUUUAUCGAAAUCAGUGUAUAUUAUUAGCUCAUAUAGAUUACGUACUCGCGUUUUCCGUCUCAUAGAACUUAAGACCAUAUCAGACUAGCGAUUGGAUCCGGCUACUUGCCGGUUGGCGAUUCUACUUAUUACCUACUUAUUACCAAUCACAUUGACCGUAACCAAGACCUGUUACAUAUGGAUACGAUUUACAAGUUUGAAUAUUAAAGCAAAAUCAAAAUGUUCAACAUUAUAUUUAAUAUAUCAGGCACUUGCAUGAGUAUAGUCGAAAGCAAUGAAAGUAUUGCAACAAAUUUGUAACUUAAUAAUCGUAUUUUAAUAUUAUUCUGCAAUUAUUGUUCUUUGAACUUUGCAUUAUUUGUAUUCUUAACCCAAAGAAGUAUAAUCUAUGAUAACUUGUGUAAUAGAGCGAAAGAAAUAUAGAGCUUGAUUUCUUGU